CAAACCAACAAAAACCCAGGCCUGCAGGCCUCAAGGGGAUUGUUCCAGCCCUGACUGCCAUCACCCCUUUAACUCCUGGCACCUGCUGCCUGCUCACAUUAAAAGGUUCAAACCCAGCAAUGAAGACACAGUUUCUGCAGUGAGGAGCUGGGUGUUGACUUGGUAACACUGGCAGAGAAAGGAGUAACACCUGAGACUGAUGAACACUGGAUGAAAGCUCCUGUGUGCUUCAGCUGUGGCUUUCACCAAGAACCUUCCAAAGGGGAUGGCUGAGAGAAGAACGUAGAGCUUGUAGAUGUGAUCAUGCCCUUCUGUGUGCAGUUGGAAUUUUAAGAACUCUAGGGACUACUGAAUGCUUGGGAAUCAAGGAAUUCAAAGUACUUGCCAGCUGGUGGCAGAUUUAUCUGGCUUAAAAGAUCAACCCAGGACUGAAAUGGGGACAUAUGGCUUGUAAAUAAUGGCCUAUGCCCUGUGCUCAUUUUCUUUUUCUCAUUUCAUUAUUCUUUUAAUGAUUGAAGGAUUUGUAUUCAAAUAAAAGAUAUUAUUUGGUUUAUUCUAU
rnacentral:lncRNA from 1 species